GCAAGUCUAAGGAGAACGAAUUCUUCGGAAUUUUAUUAAACUGGCGAACGGGUGAGUAACGCGUAGACAACUUGCCCAGAGAUUUGGGAUAACACCGAGAAAUUGGUGCUAAUACCGAAUAACAUCACUUUGACCUAGGUCUUUGUGAUCAAAGGUGGCUUCGGCUACCGUCUCUGGAUGGGUCUGCGUCUGAUUAGCUAGUUGGUGAGGUAAGAGCUCACCAAGGCGACGAUCUUUAGCUGUUCUGAGAGGAUGAUC
rnacentral:rRNA from 1 species